AGAAGUGAUGGAAACAUCUCAACAUUCACCUGCUUUUAAGAAGUCUGUUUUGGGACUUUUAACUCUGAUCCUAGUCUGUUUUCUUGGAUUCCAGCUGAACGCCUCUCUCUUUGCCAGUAAUAUCGCCAGUGUGCCACUUCGUGGGGCUGACAGGGAUGGGAGCGGAUUCGGGAAUCGCCAUUGCAGCAUUUGAAUGGAAUUCAGACAUAUUUUCUGGAGCCAUAUUCAUCACACUGGUCUUGGGAUUGGACCUUUAUCUGGAGAUCUUCAUCCUCUCGGCUAUCACUGCCAUUUGCACAACCACUGGAAACAGGUAAAACAAGAAAUAAAAGUGUUGAGUGCUACCACCUGGAACAGAGACCACCCACCCC